ensembl:lncRNA
GUGGUGGGUUCCGCGCUCCAGAUGGAGACUCAGCUGGAAGUUAAAAGAAAGAAUGACAUGGGGAGACCAAGCGUUGGUUUUCUUAAAUACCUUGAAGAAACAUCAUGCUGCUGCUGCUGCUAAGUCGCUUCAGUCGUGUCCGACUCUGUGCAACCCCAGAGACGGCAGCGCAGCAGGCUCCCCCAUCCCUGGGAUUCUCCAGACCUGUUCCCCCAGGUGUCACUGACCUCCUGCAAUUCUAGCUGCUAUGAGGUGAAUGCUGGGUACAGCAGAGAGCUUCCAGAUCCUGUUCCAGGGUCCCCAAAAGUCCUGCCUUCCAGGCACCACCAGUUUCUAUGACCCCCUCAGGGCUCUGAGGGCUGGCCUCUUCACACCAGCUGUUCGGGAAAGUCCAGAUUCUCCAAGUGGGCUUCUAGCAGCCUGCUGGCCCGCCAGCCAGCCCACCACAGCUUUUACUUGACAACUGCUGUCCAUGCAUCAUCCUCCAAGUCAGAAGAAGACUGGCGUCCUACAAGGGAGAUAACAGUUUGGGGCAUCCUGAGAGUCAAGUACACGGUGCUCCUGGAACCAUACUUUGGCUGUGGCCACAGGCUACCAGUCUCGUUUGUCCUCAGAGCCCUCCUCUUCUAUGAGUCGCAUGUAGGAACUGCAGUCACCACAAAAUGAACUCUCACCAGAGUAAGGAGACAGGUAACAGGCACUGAGAAGGUAAUAGGAGCUUCUGAGGCCAGCAGUAGGAGGUUGUAAGCAACAGAUGCGUCCCGUGGAGCCAUGCGGGGUACUAGUGCCUGAGAUAAAGACUUUAAUAGUGCCUGCUGAAAUUAACUUCCAUUUAAAACCCACCAAAAGCCCAAAGGAAGUAGGUAUUAGCAUUAAUUUUAUACUUAUUUAGUGAUUGUCUCUAUAGGCAUCCUUAUAUCCUUAUCCUUAUGUUAACUCCUAUGAUUAAAUACUGUAAUUCUCAGCAUCCCCAUUUUACAGAUCAGAAAACAGGCAUAGAGAAGUUGUUUAAAACUUAAUGUGCAGAGCUGGAAUUUGAACUCGAAGAAACCCAAGAUGUCUGAUCUGACCUAAUGGAUUAGGUUUGAUUCAAUUAAAUAUUCUAAUAAAACAAUUUUCUUGACAAUGAUAAAGAUACCAAACUAGUAU